UCGGCUUGCAGGAUCUUAGUUGCCCGCCCAGGGACUGAACCCCUGCCCUUGGCAGUAAAAGCGCAGAGUCCUAACUACUGGACCACCAGGGAAUUCCCUUUUCUUUUUUUCUGUGCCUGUUUCUUCCUCAGUGCUUUCCUGCCUCACAUAUUUUCAAUCCAGUUGGUUGAAUCUGUGGACAUGGAACCCACAGAUAUGGAGGGACUAUUGUAGUCUCUUUUCUGCCUGUCCCAGCUUUAUGAAAUGCAAAGGAAUGCAAGAUCUUAGUUCCCCAGGGAUCAAACCCGUGCCCCCUGCGGUGUAAGUGCGGAGUCCUAACCACUGGACCACCAGGGACGUCCCUGCCUGAAGCCCUUUAGCUGAAAACUCCUGUGUUCCAAGGAACCAACACGUUUUCUUGGGCCUUUGCAAAGCUCAUGAGCACUAGGCCCAGGGCCUGUGGUGCUUAUUAUGGAGAACCGACUGGGUGGAGGCUAGUGAUGGUGAUUUGUGUGCAUGUGCCUGAAAGGACACCAGGCCUGGAGCCAGACCUGCGGCAGUUGGUCCCAGCUCUGCGGCUAACUAGCUACGUGACCUUGGGCAAGUUGCCAACCUCUCUGGGCCUCUGUGUGGUCAAUUGUCAAUUGGAGAUAAGGAUGCUUGCAUUUCUUCACUGUGUACUUACUGGAGGAGCAUUCCUUCCAGCUGCAAGACCAGAGGGGAUGAACUGAGAGUUACUUUAGAGCCACGCAAAUCCAGUUCCUUUGGGAUCCGAUGAACAGACACAAGUCCACUGCCCUCUCUAAGCCAAGCUCCCAACAGGUUCUGAAGGGGUGAGCUUGCUGAGCAGCACCGCUGUGUUCACAGUGGUCCAGGCACAUGACUUGGCAUCAGCAGAGACUUGAGAUAAGAGGGUGGUGGGAUUCAGGAGAGAGGGCUGAGAGCCUGAGAGCCAUGUAAGAGCCCAAGGAUGGAAGUGCCCUUUGCUUGUGGAGGAAGGUACUAGAUCCACACCGACUUAAUUCUGCAAUGACUGGGGAAGGCCUGGGGCUGCAGAGGUGAAAGGGCAGGGCUGCACCAGCAUCUUAACCCCAGGGCAUCACUCCCUUUUUUCUUGGAUUUGCCCCUGGCUGCUUUCAUUCUGUACCAGCUGCUGCCAAGGAUACCAUGCGUGUGGCCUGGGGCAGAACAGGGUGGGAUCCCCUUUGGAGUUCAGGUGUGGGGAAGGUUGGGUUAACCAAGGCUAAGGAUCAGCCUCUUCACCAUAGGAAUCACUUUUAAAAUUGUGGUAAAAAACACAUGACAUAGAAUAUCUUUUUCCAUCACUUCACUUUCAGUCUGUAUG